AUGGCAGAGCUCCCAAGAGCCAACAUCACCCGUGAGAUCACAGUUGGCCGGGAUGGAAUCCCUUGUGAUGGCAGAGCUUUGCAGGCUGAUGUCACUGAUGUCACCGGUGAGGUCACAGGGGCCACCUGGACACCCCCAGCCGCACCUUCUCUGUCUCCCAUGGCCGAUGGCCAGCAGGGCCCAAGAUGCUGGAUUGUGAAACGUGUCCUUGCCAUUCCAAGGGUGGAUGCCCAGCCUUGUCAUUGUGCCAGUGAAAAAACUGCUGCCAAAAGAAAUGGCAGAAAGAAUUCCUUCCCGGGUUUGGAGCCCCACUUCUGCUGGAGAGCACCAAGGGGAACCAUUUCCCUGGUCCUGCGUGUGCUAGAGGCUGGAGGAAGUGCACUGAGAUUGGUGGUGGCUGGCAGAGGCAUUGCACAGGGAAAGGCAGUGACAGGAGGAGGUGUCAUCCAGGUACAGGCAGUCCCUGCUGACUGCUCCCACCGCAUUCCUGCUCAUGGGACAGCUCAGCAAUGUGUCAGGAGCAGGGAUGAGGCACACAGCCAUGGCCACCUGUCACUGGUAACCAAAGAAAGCAACACAGAGAUAUAGAAGUUGAAAAUAAGAAACAGUAUUUUCUUUUUGCGCCUGACAGUGUGCAGCUGCAGGGGGGGAAAUCCCGUUGUGACAUCACAGGGUGGUGGACAGUGACAUCGCAAGUGGCAGAUUGUGACAUUGCCCCCAUCGCUGAUUACACUUGGGCACCAGCAGAGCCUGGGACAGACAGUCUGGCUGAAACCUUGACUUCUGCACGCCAGGACUGCAAGGUCUGGAGGGUGAAGCCCAGCCUUUCCCAGUGCUGGGUGCUGUGCUGGGGGCCAGAGCCAUCCCAGAGCCAUCGCUCCUGUUUCCCUGACUUGCCUGCUUGGGGCAGCCAGGCAUGGCAGGUGCAGCACGGAGGGUGACACCCCAGUGUCCCUGCCGUGGCUUUGGUGCAAGUGACAGGGCUCAGGGAGAAGGAGGGUGUCCCUCUGCAGGGGCCUGGGCAUUUCCUACCUUUCAUUCCUCUCCCUGGCACAGCCAGUGACCAUGGCCUCUCCCUCCUGCAGCGUGUGACGCCAGCGAGGGGGAGCAGCUCCU
rnacentral:lncRNA from 1 species